rnacentral:lncRNA from 1 species
CGAGAUAUCAAACAAACACAUAGUACAGCACAGAAGCAGAUGACAUAACAUAGAUACUGCAGCCAUAAGGAAUAUAAAACAGAGUAAAGCAGGGAUGCAGGAAUAUAAAGCAGAGGAAAGCACACAGAUUCGUAACAAACAUAGAACACGGAACACGGAACAGAACAUUGAAUACGGAAUCAUACCAGGAAUACACCCCCACCAAUUACCUCCCUAC